AAACCAGCACCUCAAGUGGUCAGGAUGAUUAUUGGGCCUAAAGCAUCCGUAGCCUGCUCUGUAAGUUUUCGGUUAAAUCUGUAUGCUCAACAUACAGGCUGCCGGGAAUACUGCAGAGCUAGGGAGUGGGAGAGGUAGACGGUACUCGGGAGGAAGUGGUAAAAUGCUUUGAUCUCUCGAUGACCACCUGUGGCGAAGGCGGUCUACCAGAACACGUCCGACGGUGAGGGAUGAAAGCUGGGGGAGCAAACCGGAUUAGAAACCCUGGUAGUCC
rnacentral:rRNA from 1 species